UCGACGAGUUUGAUCAUGGCUCAGGACGAACGCUGGCGGUGUGCCUCACACAUGCAAGUCGAGCGGAUGUUUAUUAGAAGCUUGCUUUUGAUAAACGUUAGCGGCGGACGGGUGAGUAAUACGUAGGAAUCUGCCUCAAGGAGGGGGACAACGGGUCGAAAGAUCCGCUAAUACCCCAUAUGCGAGCAAUCGUGAAAGGAGUAAUCCACCUAGAGAUGAGCCUGCGUCCGAUUAGCUAGUUGGUGGGGUAAAAGCCCACCAAGGCGACGAUCGGUAGUUGGUCUGAGAGGAUGAUCAGCCACAAUGGGACUGAGACACGGCCCAUACUCCUACGGGAGGCAGCAGUGGGGAAUUUUACGCAAUGGGGGAAACCCUGACGUAGCGACACCGCGUGAGCGAAGAAGCCUUUUGGGGUGUAAAGCUCUGUCAGCUGGAACGAACACAAUGACGGUACCAGCAGAGGAAGCAUCGGCUAACUACGUG
rnacentral:rRNA from 1 species